GUCCAUCCCAAUGUAGCGUCGGGCACUUGCGCAUGCCGUGGAGACAAACCCUGGGUGGAGCAGAGAGACCGCUGAGGGCUCGAUCUGAACCAUGUCGUCAGCAAGACUAUGGUGAAGCAUUAGGUUAUUCGCGGGCGACCUACAAAGUUUGGCAUGGCCUCGCCGGGCACAAUCGGGGACCUAUGUGAUGGCAAUUUCUCGCCAUCGGCUCGGUGCCGCCGUGGGCCGCAUCACGCCAUAGGCAGCGAUCUGCGCUACGUAACUGUCGGUGAGUCCUGGACGGCCGCAUUCACCUUUUCCCCCUCUUUCGAUCGCGCUUGGGAUCAGCCUGCAUGCUCCGUUGUUCCAUGGGGUGAGCAAUCAACGGCGAGGGCACUAUCGUCUGCCUCGUCGUGCCGCCGUGUGCGGUAGCUGGAGGUUGGGGAAGGUGACUGGUUCCGUAGAGAGGUUGAUUCGUGGCUAGGAUUAGAUCCGGGGAGAGGAUCACCGUGGGUCGUUGAUCGACUGAUGAUCGGGCCGGAUCAAACCAGGGGAUAAUGAAAGGGAAAUAGGGUUAACCUUUUCCCACAAUUAAUUUUGGUGGUUGAAUGCCCAACACAAAUAUAUGGACUAACUAGUUUGCUCUAGAAUACAUGUUCUACAGGUGCAAAAAGGUUCAACACAAACCAAUAAAUAUUCAAGUUAAGG
rnacentral:lncRNA from 7 species